CAGUAGCCACGGUAAUACGUAGGGUGCAAGCGUUAAUCGGAAUUACUGGGCGUAAAGCGUGCGCAGGCGGUCCGCUAAGACAGAUGUGAAAUCCCCGGGCUUAACCUGGGAACUGCAUUUGUGACUGGCGGGCUAGAGUAUGGCAGAGGGGGGUAGAAUUCCACGUGUAGCAGUGAAAUGCGUAGAGAUCUGGAGGAAUACCGGUGGCGAAAGCACUCUGCUGGGCCGACACUGACACUGAGAGAUGAAAGCUAGGGGAGCAAAUGGGAUUAGAUACCCGGGUAGUCCCUGUCUCUUAUAC
rnacentral:rRNA from 1 species